GGAUUGAAUUGCUGAUUAAAGAAAAUCUUUAGUCAACACGGCUUAAGAACAAGCCAAAGCACAAAACAAAUAAAAAAAAAGAAAAGAGAAAAAGGAAAAUAUGGGCCAUGUUUUACUCUCACAUUUCCAAAACCGAUCCUCUUCCAUCUCCAUUUCACAUUCUGGUUGACUGACUCUCCCCUCAACCUUCGACCUGCUCCACCUCCAUACCAAAACCCUAACCUAAGCUCAAAACUUCCAUUAAGCUUCCCUAUCCCACCCUUCUCGAUCAUCCGUCACCACGAUGGCGGCGGCUGCACAUCUAAUCUUCCCUGCUCUUGCUCUAGUCCUGUGCUUUCCGCUGGCGUUUGCGAAUUCGGAAGGAGAUGCUCUCUACACGCUCAGGAGGAGCUUGUCCGAUCCUGAUAACGUCCUCCAGAGCUGGGAUCCGACCUUAGUCAACCCUUGCACUUGGUUCCACAUCACCUGCAACCAGGAUAACCGCGUUACUCGAGUGUAAUCAUGCCGAAACUUUUUAUUUGUUUCUGCUUUUAGGUUUUUUUUUGCUGAUUCGUUGCGAUAUUUUCGUUUCCUGCUUGAUUCCUUUUGUUUCCUGCUUUAGGAGUUUGUUGCUGAUUGAAAGGGUUAGCUACUGUUUAGCUUUGUGAUUGGGAGCUUUAUUUCGGUACUUGAUUUUGUUACACUGUUCAACUCUUUCUUGCUAUGGUGUCGAUGAACAGGGGAAAAGUUUUAUUGAGCAUAUUUAGAUUAAGCUACGGCGCGUUUAUGCAAAAGGGCUCUUGUCCUUUGGGUGUUAUUUUGUUCUCUGAGAGAUUGGUAUUUAACUAGUGAGUUCUAGUGCUGCAAAUUUGGCUUAUUUUGAACUUUUAAGUACUCUUGUUUAGGUUGCUAUUCGUUAAGAAAUGGAAUCCUGCUCUAACAUGUUUACAAUUUGGCGUUUGUUGCAGGGACUUGGGGAAUUCAAAUUUGUCUGGGCAUCUAGUGUCUGAGCUUGGGAAGCUAGAGCACUUACAGUAUCUGUACGUUUCUGUCACUUUUCUUCUUCACGGUGUAGUUAUGCCGUUCAUUUCUGUUUUGAUUAACUUAUGGAAGUUUGGUUUGAACUUCUGAUUUCCUUCUAAAGCUUCGUUUGUUUAAACUUUGCUGUGUCAAUAUGUGACGUAGGGAGCUUUACAAAAACAACCUUCAUGGAACUAUCCCUACUGAGCUUGGUAACUUGAAGAAUCUGAUCAGCUUGGACUUAUACAACAACAACAUAACCGGGACUAUCCCUUCUUCGCUUGGGAAAUUGAAGAGUCUAGUCUUUUUGUAAGUUCAGGCAAUCCCUUCUUUCUAAAUAUGUUUGGUUCUUUCAUUACUUGCAUUGACUCCUGAUGAGGUGUAUAAUUUCGUAACAUUCUUAAAACUCAGUAGAGUCUUGUUUGGAUUGAUCAAUUAUUAGCACGUCUUGCAAAUUCAUCUGUACUUCCAUAGUUUAACUUUUUGAGCCUCAGUCUUCCAUAUUUGCUCUUACGACUGUUUAAUAUGGCAGGCGUCUUAAUGACAACCGACUAACUGGAUCAAUUCCAAGAGAGCUUGUUGGUGUUUCUAGUCUCAAAGUAGUGUAAGUAANNNNNNNNNNNNNNNNNNNNNNNNNNNNNNNNNNNNNNNNNNNNNNNNNNNNNNNNNNNNNNNNNNNNNNNNNNNNNNNNNNNNNNNNNNNNNNNNNNNNNNNNNNNNNNNNNNNNNNNNNNNNNNNNNNNNNNNNNNNNNNNNNNNNNNNNNNNNNNNNNNNNNNNNNNNNNUCUUCUCUCUAAUAUAUCUUCUAUGAGCAUUCCGAGUGCUUUAUUUCAGCUUUAUUACUUUUAACACCACGAUUUCCGAUUUUGUUUCUUGUGCAAAUGCCUUUCAAAAGGUUGUUUCUUAUUUCUUGCAUAUACAUAUUUCAAAGUUUGUUUCCAUGUUUUAAGACUGCAAGGUUUUUCAUCGAGGUUGCUAGAUUCACUUGUUUCAUCAAAUUGAUUAUGAAAGUCUUGUGCAUUUGCAAUGUCAGUAGAAGAUUAUUAUUCUGAUGGGAAAGAUCUUCUCUGGAAUUUCCUAAAAUUGAAGGAAUUAGGAGCACAGUUUUCAGCUUGAGAAGUAAUAUUUGGCAUACUUAACUUGGGAAGUACGUAUCAUAGAUGAAGCGGUCUAGUUUCUUCUGCAACACUUUUGCUGUUUGACUUGUUGUAUCAAGUUUGAAAACAUUAAAUAAAAAUAAAACUCAUGCAUAGUUCUUUCCCGAAAUUAAAUUUUUGUUUUGGAAAUCAGCAAGUGUGGAACUGGUGAGAAUGUGGGCUACCUUCAUAUUCAAGAUAGAAGAAAAAUAAUAAAUCUGAUUCCCGAUCACUCUUUUGGAAGCUUAGAAGUCGUCAAGUGUUUGUAUGGAAGCUGGUGGCUAGCUUUGAUAAAUUACUCUUGAUCUUUUGAUAUCUUAGUAUCAAUACGCAACAUGUUUUCACCUUAUCUGGAGAGAUUGAGCGGCUUUUUAGGAAUCUUCAAAAUAUCAUCAUGCUUGUCUUGAUAACUUAAGCUUGUUACUGCAUACGAGUCAUAUCGAUAAGUAAUCCGGCUCUUAUCUUCUUCGCUGUCAAAAAGCUUUUGCUGCAUCUAAUUGUUUAGUGCAGAUACAAUUGAAUUCCUGAUGAUUCUUUCUGUAUGCAGCUUUGAGCAUAACCCUAGGCUAGAAGGCCCCGAGUUGCUGGGACUUGCAAGUUACGACACAACUUGUUCGUAAAAAAGGACGAUCAAACCCUAGUGAUGAAAUCGUCAAGACCGGAGUGGAACAAGCUAGCCUACAUCUAAAACCUUCAUUAUCUAAGUGGACCAGGGAGUGUUAAAUGCAGUCCCCCUCAUAUUUGUACAUCUUUUUAUCUCUGCUGCUUAAUGCCCUUUUAACCGUAGUAACUGCAUUGCUAUGCUCCCCCUAUAUAUAUGAGAUUCGUGUCGAGUUUGUGUGUGUGGUUACAUUUGAUGUAAUGUAAUAUCUGGUGCAAAUUUAUCAUACCUGUUGCUAUUAGUUUCCUGCUAUGUCACACUUGUUUGAAACGUAUAAUGUUCAUCAAACCUGCAGUUAUAUGGACCUUCGUUAUUAGUGGAAAUUUUGCCGGGGAGAUGCACAAAUGUACAGUGAUUGACCUGUAUAAGCUUAAAAAUACUUGACAGUAUAUGAAAAUUAUAUUAUUUUUGUACAUUACAUAUUAUACAGUGCCCUGAUCCAAAAAUACAAAUUAGUAUGUGGGCAUGCUCUAUACUCGGUUUCAUCAAAACCUGCAAAUGACAAAUCUGAAUCACAGGUAGCAGAUCUCUGAGCAUCUUUAAUUAAUGCUUGAUUCUUCCAAUCUUUCACUUUUGUGACUUUAGUAAGUAGUGAUGCAUACCAGAAAAAUAACAAGGUAGGAAGAAAAUGGUUCGAUGUUUUGGAUUAGUGAAUCGGCCAUGAUAAUUAAAUGAUAUGUUUAAGCUUGGUUUGGCAGGUAGAAUGCUAGAUGCACUUAUAUUACCGUAAUAAAAUGAAAUUAUUUAGUCAUCAACUAAUUUUUUUGCCUGACCAGAAAAAUGUUUGAAAUUUCAUCUAACGUUUCAUUUACCAAAUCAAUCCUAUUUUAAUUUAUAAAAUCUAAAGCUCAAUUCUUUUCUUCACAAAAAAUCACACCAAUUUCUAUAACAAAUUCACCAAGCCGAGAUUCGAGCUACUGUUCCUACAACCACUUAGAUAAAUCUCAUCUCUAGAAGGUAGGAAUUAAUUGAUGAAGAAAGAAUAAAGAGUGACCAAAAAAUUGUAAACUUAUUAACUAUUUUCAUACUUAACAAAGCAAUUCUCAAUUAUACAUAAUAUUUAUCGACUUUUUAAUCUCAAAAUAACCAAAUUAUUUCCGUUAGACCGGGAUCUUUUAAUAAAUAACAACCAUCCAUGGAAAAGAAGAUAUAAAAGAGCCGGCUCAAUAAGAAAAGCUUCAGCGUAUUUAUGCGCAUCCCGCGCCAGGAUCGUACUUCUUUCCCAAAAAAAAUAUCAAUGUAAUUAUCACGACUUUGUGGUCAACGUUCACAGGGGAUUAGUUGAAUUUGGACUAACACUUUACUUUUAUUUAUCAAAAAAACUUUACCUUUACUUUUUAACCAGCUAAAGGCGUCCGCAUAUUUCCUUGGACACGUUUUGGAGAAGAAACACAAUUCUAUAUAUUUCCAAAGCCACAGUUCGAAAACGUGAUAAAUUUUUCCAAACGCUACCACGAGAUAAAUUUUAUAAUUGUUGGCCGUCAAUUCAAAUAAAAUUGAUGAUGCUAUUACACAUUUUAGCCUCCUUGUUAUGCCAAAUUAACCAACAAUUUCUCCCACAAAUUUGAUCGAGCUAAGUCCCUCCAUUCUAUAUUUUUUAACAAACAAACUCACUCGUUAGUUUUUGUAUCUAUUUACCCUUUAACUUGCUAACACAACAAAACCUAAUCAACCAUUUUAUUUACAUUGCGGAUGACUGUAAUAUUCAUUUAGAUAAAAGAUAAUAAAUACAACAAAAGAAUAUUUGUAUUCAUCUAUGAGUUAUAUUUUUAUUUAAGUUGAUAUUUCUAUCAUCCAUCGUGUAAUCAAAAUGAAUAAUUAGAGAUGUCAGGCUGUCAGCCAGAUUAACUAUGGAUGGAUGGAAAAACUAACCGAUGAUCUUGUUUGUUAAGAGGUGCAAAAUAGACGACGAGUUUAACAGUAAGAAGGGUUGUUUGUAAACUUUACAAAAUAAAAGCGCCAAAAUGAUUAUUAACCCUAAAGAGAAGGGGCGAUUAUACAACAUUCCCUUGGAUGAAAACCUAGCUAUGUGGGUGCCAAAUAUUUCAAAGGGUAUUGAUGUUUUUGUACUGAUUAUGUAACAAAGUCAAAGUCAUCAAUUAGCCAGGACGAUGGUGACAAUUAUUUUUAUCAAGUUGUUAGGAGAGGAAUCGAAAAUUUAUAUUGGUAGUUAUAUUAAUUAUGUAUGAAAAAGUUUUAGAUAUUGAUCAUGUCCAUAUUAUAUGCGUGUGAUUUUGUAAAAUCUGGUUCGAUUAGUUGUGGUCCAAACCACAAGUUAAAUCUUUCAAAUUAUUUAUUAACAUGCUCCCUUCAACAUAAAUUAUAAGAAAAGUUGAGGUUUGCAUAGUUUCAAGACUUUGAUAAGUUAUGUGCAUAGAUGAGAGCUAUUAGGAUUCGAAACGGAGACCUAUUAAUCUUUGAAGGCUCUGCUAUUAUUUCAUAAACCGUUGCAUUCUAAUAACUUAAGUUGAAAGAAAAGGAAUAUUCAUAUUGAUAUUUGUAUUAUUCAUUAGUGUCAUAGAUUGAUGAACAAAAAUCCUCUUUUUGGAACGAGCGGGGCAGUGGCCGGAGAGAGAAGUGACUAGUAGGGGUGGUCCACCCUCGGUUAUUUGUGUUUAAUUCUUUACAAAUAGUUAUAUUUUUUUUAUAUUUUUAAUUUUGAUUUAGUAAUAGUAUUUUGAAAAUAUUUACAUUGGCCUAAAUCCGUCCUUUUGAUGGACUAUUAUUAUCUUCCAUGUCUUUAGAUAUAACCUGUUUGGUGGUAAAUUUUUAUUAAAGUUAAUUAAAUUUAAUUUAUCAUAUCGAUCAUAUACUAAAUUUAAACUUCGAUACGAACGUUGGUCAAAUAUCUUUAACAGGAAGGUUGUAACAUUUAUAACUAGUCACAAGACUUGAAAAACACAGACCUACUGAUCAUAAACAAAAUAUUGAGUACUGAUUUAGAAUAAAAAAAGAGAAACACGAAGGAUAAAGUACUGGGUAGGAAUAGGAUAACCCGAAACAUGAACCAAAGAAUGAAAUUCUUUUCCCUCCAGCGGCUUACACUCAAAAGAAGAAGAAAAGUGAUGAAUUUGCUAGUGCUGUGAAAUUGCUGUAAUGUUCCACUUGUCGGAUACCCUUUUUCACAAUUUUAAUAUUUAAUCCCACAAUUAUUAUGUAUAUAAAUAUUUCCCCCUAAUUAAAUAUUCUUUUAUCAAUGUUUUAAUAAGAAUAUAAAUAGGUGGGUCUUCAAAAUCUAUCUCAUAUAUGUGCACUCCUCACCAAACCCAUCUCUAAUCAUUACAUUUUUUAGGAGAUUUUGAUGUUGAAUUUAUGGUAUCGUUUUAAUUGUAAAAAAAAUGGAUGAAAUUUUAAGUAAUUUUUGAUUGAAUAACAAAAUUAGAUUUUAUUAAAAAAUUAAUUUUUCCAUUACUAUAUAUAAAUUCAAUCCAACUUAAUUUACACGUGUCAAACUAAACUUUAAAUUGGUAAUCCAAAUAAAAUAUUAAUCUAUGUAACCUCGCAACCAUGAUCCAUAGGCUAACACGUCCUCGCUAGGUAAUGUCGAGUGGUCUUUAAUAUACUUAAUUCUAUUUAAGUGUGAAAGUUCGUUAAUUUAUAAAGCAUAUGGCGAACUCGUUUACACAUUUUUUUUACCAUUUUCAUUUUCUACCCCAAAUCUCUCAUUCUAUUUGGAAUUCAUCCAUACAUUCUUUUUUUACUGGAACUUAACGUAUCGAUGGUGCCGUUCUGAGCUUGUUGAUAUAAGCGGUGCAAUUGGCUUUGUGGAUGUGCAAGUUUUGUCGAAAAUGUAAUACAUGCGACAGGUUGUUCUUCUUAUCCAAGUAUCUAACUACGAUUCAUUCACUAUUAAACACAGCGUGUAUCUUAUAUAUGUUUACGAUAACAUUUUUGCAGAUAGAUAUAGAAAGGCGAUGUUGAGUUCAUCUUCACUCGAAUCCGUUCGGUUCGGUCUUUCUGUCUUUGAUGUGGCAUCAUUGUACAUGAGAUUCCCGGUUCGAGAUGCCCAUUUUGAAACAAAAAUCGACUAUUAUACAUAUCUCCCAACGAUGAGAAUUGCUUUUACUCACGCUUCUGCCCAUCUUCAUUCACAACACUGCAAAAAUCAUUCCCACGUUUGCUUAGACAAAUAGAAAGAAAAGCAAAAGGAGAAUCCCACCACAACCUCUCUAAUAGUUACAUCCAUUCUCAAACCAUAUAGAAUUAACAAAAAGUAGGAUAAAAAACCCAAUAGGUCACUUAAUUUUGGGAUCAGAUUAUUUAUCGCUCUCGAAACUUUCAAAUAUUACAUACUGAUCUCGAAAUUUUAUAAAGUUGAGAUCACCCUGAGUAACCUUUGAAAGUUUCGAAACUAAUACGUAACACGUCCCAAAAUUACGGGACGAAUUGGGUAUUUCACCAAAUUGCCAACAACUUUACUUGGCCACCUCACUAGCUCACUCUAUAUAAAUAGCACCUCAAAUAUGUUUGUAUCUUAACACUUGAAACACCUUUAAACUCUUCCCACUACAUUUCCAAACUCCCAUCUUUCAUCACCCGCCGACAGGGGGCGACCGGAACAUAAUCAACGGCGAAAAUGGGCCGGCGGGUUCAUGUGUUGAUGAUGGUAAUGUGUCUUGCCGCCGUCCAAAGUUGCUGGGGCAAGACUAGGCAUUUCAAGUGGGACGUGGAGUACAUGUUCUGGUCGCCGGACGGCCAGGAGCAUACCGUCAUGGGUAUCAACGGCCAGUUUCCGGGGCCGACGAUCAGGGCCAAGGCCGGCGACAUAAUCCACGUGGACCUCACCAACAAGCUACAUACUGAGGGAGUUGUUAUUCACUGGCAUGGUAUCAGACAGGUUGGUAAAUUUUAUAAGUUAAUUAUGUUUACUGAAUUGAUUAAUAAUUUAUUUAUUCAUGUAUUUUUGCAGCAAGGGACUCCAUGGGCUGAUGGAACAGCUGCAAUCUCACAGUGUGCCAUUGCUCCUGGUGAAACUUUCCCUUACAGGUUCACUGUUGACAAGGUAUGACUUUACUUAUUUCUUGAUCCUUUUAAUUUUGAGGUGUAAAAAAGUUGUCUAGACCGGACCCAGUCUAAUCCAUUUCAAGGGCCGACUCAAUCUGAUUCGAUAUCUAAAUUUAAAUUGUUGUUCGUCAAAUUCAAAAAUAAAUGAUCAAUUUGAUUGAUCAAGGAUUCGUAAUUCGAUUGACCCAGUUCGUAACCUAUCAAAUACAUCUGUUUGACAGCUCUACGUUUUUUAUUUAUAAAAAAGUAGAAGCAAAAAGUGUAUACAAUUUUGAAAUUCAUUUUGGUGAUCGAGAUGGUAAACAAUAGAUGAUCUUUUAUUCAACCUCUCCUUAGAGCAAACUAUUUCAUAUAGGGUCACUGAUCAGACUAUUCGUGAUAAGUGAAAAGAUUAUGUUAGGUUGUGAACACACAUUUUGUUCAUUACUAAUGAUAAAUCUUGUAAUGUGUUUUAGGCGGGUACAUAUUUCUACCAUGGGCAUUACGGGAUGCAAAGAUCAGCGGGGCUAUACGGUUCACUCAUAGUUGAAGCAGGAGACAAAGUUGGAGAGAAAGAUCCAUUCCACUAUGACAGCGAGUUCAACCUCCUGCUCAGCGACUGGUGGCACAAAAGUGUCCACGAACAAGAAGUUGGCCUCUCUUCCCUCCCCUUCCGCUGGAUCAACGAACCCAACGUACGGUAACAGUACUAUCGACAAUUACCCAUUUCGUAUCGAACCAACAACUCAACUAGACAAAGCCUUACACAUGGUUCUAUAUAUGGCCAACGGCUAUGUCCCCUAUGGGGCAGAUUAAAGACACUAGUCCAACCCAUUCUCUCUAAUGGAUUCAAAUAUCAAAAGUAAGUAAUUAAUUAAAUACUAAUGUAAAGUACCGACCCAUGUGGAAAUGUUUGGUUUCUUUCAAAGAUUACUAUGUUACACUAAUCAGGUAGUUGGCAGAAUCUUAUCUUCGAUGUCUUUUGAUUUUACAGAGACAUAAAUCCAAAACAGUCCACACCAGAACCAGCAAUUUCUAUUAAUAUAUUGAUUCAACUUUAGUUAAAAAUUCCUUCAGAUUUUCCCAUUCUCCAAUCAAAGGACUGACAACAUCUUGUUUCUAAAAAUGACUGUUUGGUUUUUUUUUGCAGACUUUGUUAAUUAACGGGAGAGGCCAGUACAACUGUUCACUGGCAGCAAAGUAUAACAAGACAUCAGCAUCAUUACCACAGUGUAAGCUAAGAGGGACUGAGCAAUGGGCACCAAAUGUGCUCAAAGUGCUACCAAACAAGACUUACAGGCUCAGAAUUGCCAGCACCACUGCCUUGGCUUCUCUCAACUUAGCCAUUGGAGUAAGUCUCCUACCAAUAUUGCUUUUGCGUGCGUGCGUACGUAGUUCUGCUAGCUUUUGCAUACCUAUACUCUUUUAGUGAUGAUAGCUAAGGAUAAUUUUCGAGUUAGAAUUAGAGGUAGAGUUGUAAAACAUGCGAGUAGAGUCACUGGUGAAAUGGUUGUGGGUAUAUAUCAAUUAGGUUGUGGGUUUUUGAGUUAUUUGGAUUGAGCGAGUCAUGGAUUGUUGAUUUUUAAUCGGUUUGAAUGGGGCUAAAACUGAGUUGAAUCAAACAUUCGUUUCCUCACAAAGACACUAAAAUUCAAAAUUCAAACUAUUGUAAUAUCAAACCUUUGAGUCCCAUGUUUGAUUUUGUUGUUUGGUUUUGGGUUGUGGGAAACAAGUUACAAAUCAGAUUGAAUCACAUAUUAAUUAGAUUAUUAUUGGGUUUUUGAGUUAUUUGGAUUGGACGAGUGACAAAUUGUUGAUUUUUAAUUAAUCUGAAUCGAAUUUAGAAUUAAAUUACGUUGAAUAAGAUAUUUUUCUCACAAUUAUAUAUAAAACACUAAAAUUCGAAAUUCAAACUACUAUAAUAUCAGAAUAUUUGAGUUCCAUCUUAAUUUUCUUAGAUUCUUGGGUUGAGGUCAAACUUUUAACCAUUGUAGGGUUCUACUUUUUGAUACACUUUUUUCUCUAAAUUUGACCAAUCAUAGUUAUAGUUAUAGUUGAUAAUAACUUUUUAUUUUUUAAAAGUUGGGAAGGUUGGCAAGUGAUUUUGAAAUUUCUGCAAAUAUAAAAAAGGAAGGAGGUAGAAAGCAUGGAAAAUUCUUCCACUAAAGGUGGUAGAAAAGGAGAAAACGUGUUGGCUUCAUGAUCAUCAUUCAUUCAUCUUUUUCUUUCAACAAAAAUCCCAAUUGUUUUACAAAGGUUUUCAAAAUCUCAAAAACCUAACCAAGAAAAUUGUGUUGUGAUCAUUAAUGACGGAAACCUUAUCAAUUAGUUACUAAACAAACCCAUAAUUCGAUUGACUUUGUAAUAAAUUAUGGUAUGUCGUAACCAGAUCAAUCCGUAUGUUCACCGAUUUAGUAUAGACAGUAUAGUAGUCUAAAGGGGCAAUGCAUGAUGAACGUUUUUUGAAACCUUUCUUUCCUUCUCUUGUGUGAAGAAUGCAUGAUGAUGUAUUAUGUUGCCAAUUGCUAUGGCGGAUAUAGUGAGCCUCCUCUAGUGUAGAUUCAGUCCAUUUUCGGAUUUUGAAAUUUAAUAUACUAAAUUAGUUGGCAUUUUUUUCUAUAUAUGACUGAAUGUAUUUAAACUUUUAUACAAUGCACUGAACAAUUAUAAAUCCGCUGAUGUACCUACACAACUUGGUUGGAAUCCAUAUAAGGAACCAAGUUAUCCCCAUUGAUGCUCACUCUAUUUCCAUGCAAAUGGAAAAGACAAGUAUCUAUUAUUAUGUGCCACACUCCUCUCAACCAUGUGAUCCCCACACGGUAAUCUUACUACUUGCCUUCAAUUAUUUAGUUAAAAGCAUAGUUAGAAGAAUGGAAUCUCAUUCCUUAUACACCUCCAAAUGAGUGAAGAGACACAUUUACAUCAUAUUCAUCCCAAUUGAAUUGAUUGGGUAAAGGCAUGUGUCCAACCAUCAUUGGUUUGGACUCUAUGUAACGACCAACCUACAACUUUGAGAUUAUUUACUCUCGUUGAGAUUUCUAAUUCAUUCAUCAGAGAUAUCUAUUGUGUUCCUAAAAUAAAAUAUGAUGAAGUACGUACGUUGUUUAUGUUAGCCAACUUUCAUCUACACUAAUAUAUUAUUCUCCCUCUUCUAAGAUCUUAUUUUGUCGUCAAAUAAUGUAAUACUAAAUUCAAUAGAAUAACAUGUAACCCGUAUUCCUUUUGAAUUACUUUCAAAAACUCUUCUUUUCAUUUCAUGCAUUUGAUCUUGUAUUUCAUACCACGUCUCAGUUUUACAAAAAUUAUCGAUGUGAUUUCACCGACUUAAAAGUGUGGUAUUUAAAUUUAAUAUUCUCUUGGUUUUUCAAAUAUUCAAUCAAUUACAAAUUCAGUUUUACAAAUCAAACCACUAACCGUACAUAUUUGUAGUUACCAGUAAUCAAUUCGUAGUCAUCUUUAUCAACUUUUGAAUCAUGCUUAGUGUGUUACUAAUGUAACUUUGUUCAAAAAACAGGGCCACAAGAUGGUGGUGGUGGAAGCCGACGGGAACCACGUCCAACCAUUUUCGACGGACGAUAUCGACAUCUACUCCGGCGAGAGUUACUCGGUCCUCUUCACAACGAACCAAAACCCGUCAAACAACUACUGGAUCUCCGUUGGAGUCCGCGGCCGCCGCCCUCAAACCCCACAAGCAUUAGUCCUCCUCAACUACCUCCCAAACUCCGCCUCCAAAUUCCCAACCUCACCUCCUCCGAUCACUCCCCGGUGGGACGAUUACGCCCACUCCAAAUCCUUCACAACCAAAAUCCUCGCCCUAAUGGGCUCCCCAAAGCCCACUCCCAAAGCUCACCGCCGGAUCCAACUCCUCAAUACCCAAAACCGGCUCAACGGGUUCACUAAAUGGGCCAUCAAUAAUGUCUCGUUGAUUCUUCCGUCAACGCCGUACAUCGGGUCCAUGAAACACAAUCUCAAAUCGGCGUUCGACCAGACCCCACCGCCGGAUAACUUCAAUCAAAACUACGACGUUUCGUCCCCACCGGUGAACGCCAACACCACGACGGGGAACGGCGUGUACGUGAUCGACUUUGGGACGACGGUGGAUGUAAUCUUGCAGAACGCGAAUGCUCUGUCGGCGAAUGUGAGCGAGAUCCAUCCUUGGCAUUUGCACGGGCAUGAUUUCUGGGUUUUGGGUUACGGAGAUGGGAAAUUUGGCGACGGAAAGGGGAAAAAGUUGAAUUUGAAGAAUCCGCCGUUGAGGAACACGGCGGUGAUUUUUCCUUACGGGUGGACGGCGUUGAGGUUUGUGGCGGAUAAUCCUGGGGUUUGGGCUUUCCAUUGUCAUAUUGAGCCGCAUUUGCAUAUGGGGAUGGGGGUUGUUUUUGCAGAGGGUGUUGAUCGGAUUGGGGAUGUGCCUAAGGAAGCGCUUGCCUGUGGAUUGACUGCUACUAGGUUAUAAUCGCGGCGGCGACGGCGGCGGAAAUUGAUGUGUCGUCGGAGGGUUUGUUUUUUUGUGUAGCUUUUAUGAUUAUUUAUUAUCAUCGUAUUGUAAAAGUGGGUUGAUUCGGAAAGGUGAGUGCGAGGGGAAGGCUGGUGUGUGAGUGGGGUGUGAAAGUGGUUCGAUUUUUCCUUCAAACCGGAAUCAUGGUUUGGCUUUCAAUGAAACGUUUUUAUUAAUAAUGUGUUACUUCGUUUAUUUGCUUGAUUUGAUUGAGGUUUGAUGUUCGAUUUAGUUUGAUAUUAACGAAAUAUGUUGGAAGGAGUUGGAAGGCAUUAUAUCAAUGGUGUAUUAUACGUAUUCAUAAGAAUUUUAUAAUUGAACCAUACCUUAACUUUGUUAUCUCAAUGAGUAGCCAAAAUUCAGGUAACAAAUAUAACAUUAAGUCUAAAAAACAAUAAGUGUUUUGCAAAACAAGUGACCAUUAACACCGUCAACCAUAUAAUCUUUAAAGAUGUAAAUAAAAAAUGUACAUAUCUAAAUUCCUGCUUUCCUGCUUUUUAAAUGUUCGCUUGAAAAAAGUGAUCCGUUAAAAGUCUACUACCAACGUUUCUCGAUAUUUGGCCAUUGAGUUCCUGAUUGGUAUCAACGUUACCAUUAUGUUCUUGUGUUUAAUUGGGAGAUGGAUGGUUCCGCCACAAAGACUUUUUAUGGUUAAAUUUUGACAUCAUACAAAAUAUAAUUUACCUUCAAAAUCAUCUCAUUCUUUCACUUCCAAUAAUCCAGUAGCAAAAAACAAUCAAUGUUCCUGAUCUUGAUUAAAUUUCACCUUAAAUUUCACGAACUAGUUUUGAACCUCUUUUGAAAAGAAAAGAGGAGGAUAGAGCAUACUAAACUUCCACAGUUUUCUCUUCGAAACGAACACAUUUUUCAUUUUCAAAUUACAACACAGGUGCCAUUAAUACUUAUUUUUAUCAUUUACAUCGACUGAAAUGUACCACUCAAUUACCCAUUAGUAUUGGACGAAAAAUAUUGACAGAAUUAAACGAACUCAUACUUUUCAAAUGUCCUCAUACAUUUAUCACUGGAGUGACGUUUUUGAAAGUUCUACUGCCGGGACAUUCAGGCCAAACGUUUACUACACCAAACGUCAAAUUUUCAUAGUGUAGAGCCUUGUUUGUUAAGUGUGCAUAGUUCAUGGGCUGAGAAGUUUAUCAACCCAAUUAGCGAAAAUAAGCCCGGUGGCCGGUCGGGAGUCUCAUUUACUUACCGUAGGGCAAGCCUUUAGACUGCGCGGAUGGCGGCGGUGCUGGUAACCUGACACGAUAACUGGUAAGCAUUCAGUCUUGCGGCAGUUUGCUUGUCUCAGGCGAAGCAGAUCUCCUUGCAUCAGGUGAUUGGCAGCUUUCUACUCUAUAGUAAAAACUUCCUUAACGCUGGUAGCUUCUUUACUUUUUAAUUAUGGAUGAAAGCAUUCAACUUUGAUGUGGAAAAUCUAUUAGCCUUCUGAAUUUCAAUUGUGUGUAGUCAGAAUUUGCAAAAACAUGUACAUUAUCUCAUUGCUGGCAAUUGGGGUUUUUGCUGGUAGACUGAUUCUAGUUCUUGGUGGAGGGUUUUCAACUGCAGGAUUGUUAGCAUACAUUGUAAUGGAGAAGAGGGAGGGUAAACAAGAGGAGGUGGAGGAAGAGCAGGUGGUGAAUCCAUGGGAAGUUUCGGCCAAAGAUGGAGGGAAGAUCGAUUACGAUAAGCUUAUCGACAAAUUCGGAUGCCAAAGGCUUGAACUUCCAAUAGUUGACCGUGUCCAACGACUGACUGGUAGAGCGCCUCAUGUCUUCCUCCGCCGUGGUGUUUUCUUUGCCCACAGGGAUUUUGAUGAGAUACUGAAUGCAUAUGAGAAAGGGAAAAAGUUCUACCUUUAUACUGGUAGAGGUCCAUCCUCUGAAGCUUUGCAUCUCGGUCAUCUUGUGCCCUUCAUGUUUACCAAGUGAGCUCUCAUCUUGAUUGUUGGCAUUAGUUUUGAAUACUUGUUUGCUAAGAGCAAAAUGAUUCUGGCUGGUCAGCUGGAUUCCAUUUGAUCUAUUAUCCUCAUACUUGCAGAUAUUUGCAAGAUGCCUUCAAGGUGCCACUUGUGAUACAACUUACUGAUGAUGAGAAGUGCAUGUGGAAGAAUCUUACAGUGGAGGAGAGCCAGAGACUUGCCCGUGAAAAUGCGAAAGACAUUAUUGCUUGCGGUUUCGAUGUCACCAGGACAUUCAUCUUUUCAGAUUUUGAUUACGUUGGCGGGUAAGUAACAGGAAUUGACAAUGAGAUUUGGAUAAAAUAACCGUAUAGGUUAGUUAGCACUCCAAUCAAACGUACCUAGCUGUGUUUAGGUUCAUGAACUUCACAUUUUAACUGUACCAAAAUGUUGUUUAGUCUUUGCUCAAGGGUUACUCAAAGAAAUGCAAAUUGCAGUAAGAAGCAACUCUUCUGGAUCACUUGGAUGAUAGAUUUUUUGUGUGCUCUUGUGUUGCUUUGUUGUAGUUGUGAUCUUUUGCAUAUAUUACUGUAUUUGACAUGCAUUGAAUCUUUCCAGUGCAUUUUACAAGAACAUGGUGAGGAUUGGGAAGUGUGUCACAUACAAUAAGGUUAAGUUUGCUGAGCUAUUUCUAUUUUUUGUUUUGCAUUUCUAGUGUUGUUUUUCAUUUGCAGGUCAUUCAAAAAUUGUCAAUGGUAUACAGGUCGUGGGCAUAUUCGGUUUCAGCGGUGAAGAUCACAUCGGAAAAGUUAGUUUUCCACCAGUCCAGGUGAGUUAUUUAUCACUGUGUACCAACAUCUUGGCAUGCAUUGCAAUUGGGAUCCAAUUUCUCAGACACAUGUGCUCUAGUUGCGUCCUUUCUUUCUAUUAUUUAGUAGCUGGUGGAUUUUUCCAAGUUUAGAUGUUAGUUGGCGUAGGACUAAAUGCUUUCUUGCGAUCAGAAGCAACAUUAUGAGACGUGCUUACUGUAGUUACAUAACAAAGGUUUGGAAACUAGAAAGGGAAUCCAGGUUUUUCCAUUGGCAGUGUGCUUCCUGGAGAUGUGGAUUAUUAGAGUUCUUGCAGCCAGAAUCUUGCCUAGUGGUUGUGCAGCACAAACAAUUGCACAGUCGUAGAACCUUUUUUCACAACUUACCUAAGCAUCAUAUUAAUGGAACUCUACAGAACUUCCACUUACUCUUAUUCGUUGCAUAAUAGUUAAAGUAGAGGGAGGAAGAGAUUUAACGUACUUCACUUUUCUGUAGUGCAGGCAGCACCAUCUUUUCCUAGUUCAUUUCCACACUUGUUCUCCGGAAAAGACGACCUCCGUUGCUUGAUUCCUUGUGCAAUUGAUCAGGUCGGACCCUCCUAAAUGUACAUGUUUGAAUUGAAUUUUCGUCUUUGAAAAUGAAUACUGUUAGUGAUUUUAAAUGUUCACCCAUCUUUUAUACCUGCCUGUUUGCAGGAUCCAUACUUCAGAAUGACACGAGAUGUUGCACCCAGGCUAGGAUAUCAUAAACCUUCACUGAUUGAGUCAUUGUUCUUCCCGGCCCUUCAGGUAUCUGGCUAUAUUCUCUCGUAGAAUUUCUCAUAUUCUGGUCAGAAAAGAAACCUGCACCAGCUUUCUAUUCAAUUGAUUGGUGAAGAGUUAGACUGGUCCGACCUGGGAUGGUGGUUAUCUUACCACUAUGUCUUAUCACACUUAUGUAUGUAAUAUGCAUAUUACUGUUUCAAUAUGACUGCUGAUUUCAAAUUUUGAUGCUAUUGAACUUUCUAGUACAAUUACCAUGAAGUAUUUGUUGUGACUUCAAUCUGUUCAUUUCAUUUUAGUGAAAUGGCCCAAAUAGAAAGCCACCAGACAUACAAAUAUGAUUAUACUUCAGCCAGUUACUCUCUGAUUGCUACUAACUAAUCCACGCUGUGUAUUAUUAAUUUUUGUAGGGAGAAACUGGAAAAAUGUCUGCCAGUGAUCCGAAUUCUGCUAUAUAUGUGACUGAUUCUGCCAAGGUCAUUAAGAACAAGGUAUGAUCUUGUAUUGUGCUUAUGAUUCCUUCCUUUUACGUAUGUUAUUCAACCUGUCAUGGCAUAUAAGCUAAUUGUCAAUGUACUGUCUCGAUGGUAACAGAUAAAUAAGUAUGCGUUCUCUGGGGGACAAGAUUCCGUAGAGAAGCACAGAGAACUUGGGGCCAAUCUCGAGGUAGAUUACUCCAAAACCCAAAUGGGAAAAUCAAACUAAGUUUGCUCAAUAACAAUCUUACUUAAUACUUCUUCCUUGCUUAUUAAUUUUCAGGUAGAUAUACCAGUGAAGUACCUAAGCUUCUUCCUGGAGGACGAUGCUGAGCUCGAGCACAUUAAGACGGUUAGUCCACUAAACCUUUCGCGUCAAUUUUAGCAAUUUCACCCUUUCUCUUACUGAAAGCCUUUGUUUCAGGAAUAUGGCGCUGGGCGAAUGUUGACCGGGGAGGUAAAGAAACGUCUUGCUGAUGUUUUGACAGAACUGGUAGAUCGACAUCGUGCAGCUCGAGCUGCUGUGACAGAAGAAGUAAGCAAGCUUCUAAAUUGUUUUCAAAUUCUGUUGCUUUGCUGCAAAAAGGAUGUUGGUUAAUCCCUUGUUUCGGUUUUGGACAUGAAAUUCUGUAAUUGCAGAUGGUGGAUGCUUUCAUGGCAGUGAGACCACUUCCUAAUAUGUUUGACUGAAAAGCUAGGAAGGUAAACUCUCUGAUAUGGAGUCAAACACAGGAAAGGCUGUUUAGUUUGUAAGUUAAUGUAGCAACUCUUCAUUAGAACACCAAAGUUUGAUUCUUUUGAACUCCUUUGAAAGAUUGUUGAGAUUCAAUGCAUGAGACAGUGUAUUUGUGGAAGCUUCGUACUUUGAUCAUUCUCAAGUGAGAGUUGGUUGGUUUGGAUAAGGCAUUGUGUUAAAUUCAACCAAUUCGUAGUUUAGGUUUGGUUUGGCCUGUGGAUAGUUUGGAAAUUUGUAGGUGGCAACAAGAAAGUUCGUUCUUCAAACCCUUCGGCCAGGAACAUGUUCAAAACUUCAUCAACUUUUCACCUGCCAAACUAAGGUAUAAAAAUGUUGUUAGCAAUAAUCAUAACUCGUAUAAACUAUCCCAACCGAAAAAGGCGAUAAUAAUAAGUGAUGUAACGAGUCAUUUCACGGUAUGAUAAACAGCAAACUCUAGAGGUAUGCACUAUCUUAAGUACAAGUAAAGAUCGUUGGUGUUGCAUCUAUCUAUCGACUGAUCCGACUAGAAUGCUUUUGUACCAUAUUUUUACAGUGAUUUGUGUGUAUUUAUAUAUAUAUAUAUGUAGGGUACAUUCUUGAAACAUUUGGAUAGUGCCAACUGUUUUUGUUCUGUCUUUUGACAAGGAAAUAUGAAAUUCCUAGUUAAAGAGAUGGAGACAAAGUGGUUUUGUCGUUUGCAGCUUUACUCAGCUUCACUCGUUAUCCAAUCACUCUUUUCCAUUUUUCUAGUUAUGUCGAAUAAUAAUAAUCUAUUAUCCAUUCGGAUAUUUUUUUCUAUGUGAUCAUAAUAUCAUAAUUUCAUUUUGCUAUAUAAGUUUACACCAACAAUGAAACUACCCGCAAUGCCCUCUUGAUGUAUCGGUUAACCAAAAGUUUUGGUUUACUAUAUCACUCGAUCGAAAUAUUUGGUUUACCAUUUCACUCGUUUUGACUCAAUUCUUUAUGGCUUCUAAUUCAAUGGAACUAUGAUCACCAACGUAACCCAUUUGUGUUAAAUUACUUCAAUAAGAGAUUGAUUAGUUUAGCUAAAAUGUAUCGCAGAGAAUAAGUUUGAAUCUACUGAUUUGAAUUAUAUUAUUCUGUUACAAAACAUUAAUUACUAGGUUAUUUACACUAAACGCUCCUUAUAUAUGUUUAAAGGACUUCAUUAGUACUUUCUUAUAUAUCUUCCCUCUCAUCUUUCCAUUUCUUCUUAGAAUUUUUUUUUAUAAAAUUGACUAAAAAUACAUCUUAAAAGGGUGACAUACAAACGAAAUAUUGAAAACUUACUCAGUUUUCUAGUCGAAAAUAUUAUUACUCCGCCCGAACUUUUUGGGAGAAACACUAUCUACAAUAGUGGAAUAAAUAGACUCAUAUGUAGGUAUGCAUACGAAUUUGGAACACACGUCUAGUUUUGGUGGGUUUGUUUAACUUGUUAAGACGUCAUUUCUACUCAAAAUAUCUCCCAAUUUUCAAAUCCAUUUCCAAAAUUUCUUGCAAAAUAUAACAUAUAUUGUGGUCUGUAAUGAAAAUGUCAGGUUUGAUGUUAGGCAAUUUUCGGUUGCCACAUGCCCACAUUUGUGGUGGUUCAUGCCAUGUGUUCUAACUUCCAAGGCUACUAGUCUACCUCGUAAAGUUGUCAACAAGUGUUAUAACUAAAUAUUUAAAUGUCAUGAGUUUAAAUUCUAACUUCGGCUAUUAUUCUUAUUUUUAUUUUGAGUUUGAUCAUAUAUGACCGCUUGACCGGCCUAUUGUAGUGACAGUUAGUUGUGUAACUUUGGUCCACUACUGUGUUGAGUUAUUUUACAUCGUAAAGUUGAAGAAGAUGAGUGCACUAUAUAAUUAAGUGUGAGGAAAAUUUUACUGUCUUGAGUUAGUUCUUACAGUAAGAAAGGUUUAAUUUUGUAAUAAUUGUGAAGUGACGUGAAGGGUGAUGUGACAUUCUUUUAAAAAUUGUUAGGGAUGUAGAUGUGCUUUCGAAAUUAAAAAGCGUUUCUGAUUUAGCAAGUUUGCUAACUUAGCAAGUCAAUUAGCAAUGCCACAUAGACAAAUUGUUACAAUUUUUAAAAAAUACAUUUAUGAAUAGAAAAUAAAUUGAAUAUAAAUAAUAUCUAGGCCUCGUUUGGUAUGUGAUAUCUCUUAUUCGAGAUAUCACGAUUUUGGGUGAGAUUGAUAUUAAAUCUAAAUAGUAUGAAUAUUUUUGUUUGGUGUAGGAUAUUGAGUGGUAGCUUUUAGGAAUAAUUAAAUGUGGUGUGAGUCUUAAUUUGUAAUAAUGAGGGCUGAGAAAAUUACGAUUAUAGCCCUCAGUUGCAUGUAGCUAUAAAAUUGUCUUGGGGGCAAUUAUCGAAAAGAUAUUGGAGGUGAUAUUGAAUAUCACCCCUAGGUGAAUAUUGAAUAUUACAAUAUUGCGAUAUUCAAUAUCAUCGAAUAGCUAGCUAUUCAUACUCCGAAACACGAAGAUAGCUAGCUGUUGGGUGAUAAUAUCAGCUAUACCAAACAUGCCCCUAAUGAUUUUAAUUGGUUCAUUUUUAUUGUGUUUGUUUGUGAAAAUGAUUAUUAGAAAUUAUUACUCAAUUGCUGGAAUAGAGGAAAUUAAGAAUUACGAAACUAAAGUUGAUGAUACGGCGAUAAAAUUAUAAUUAAAAAUUGUUAAUCAAUUUCUAAGAUGGAGAUCGAUCUUGAGCAACUGGGUCCACAAGUUAAAAUUGAUAUUGGAACGAAUUAAAAUGAUCCUAUAUGUAACAUUGCAACGUUCAAAUAACUUGACGUCGCGAUCCGUCAAAUAAAAUGACGCAAAUACAGCUGCCGCUACAUCGAGUGCUGACACUACUUGUGCGCAUCGCUGACAUAAUAAUGCGUACGAGCCGCGCAAGAGACGUCCAAUAAAGAUAACGCGAUUCAAAGAUUCGACCAAAAUCUCUACAGAAUUGAUUUUAAUAUCAUAAUGAGGUGUUUUACCAAAGUUACCAUUUUGAGUUACCAGAGUUAUAAACUAACUGCCUACAAAAAGGAGGUGUGGCUCUUUCAAUCCACCAAACUCCAUUAAUUCAAUUGGAGGAUAACUCACAACUCACAAAUCACAAUACCUUUCUUUUUCCACUAUGCUAGGUUUGGACCACCAAGUUCUCUACCUGAUUAGUAAUUACCUCUCUUUAAUCUUUAUCCAUUGAUUAUCCACAGUUUUCAUUUCAAUAUUUGUAGCAUCAUUAUGGUACUACCCAAUUAACCUAGUACGUGUUAUGGAUUCACAAUCGAAGGACGCAACGAUGUUGUUCCGCUAAAUGCAUACGACAUUGUGGAAUCCAUUCAUGUUCGAUUCAUGCAAAAAAAAAGAAUAAAAAGAUUUUUUGAACUUUUUAUUUUUUCAAUGAAGAUAAAGAGAACAUAUGAUUUUAUACUAGCCAUGUCAUUUUUUAUUAAAAAAAAAAANNNNNNNNNNNNNNNNNNNNNNNNNNNNNNNACAAAUUACUCUUUUACCCGUUAGAUUGGUUCGUAAAGAUUAUUCAAUAAAGAAACAUGAUAACCCUAGUUACAAUGAAUAUUAGUUGAUAUAUUUUUUUGAUGAAUAUUAGUUGAUAUAUUAUCUAUAAAGAUGUUGAGUUGAGAUCAGUGAAAGAAAAUUAUUAUUGUUACGUCUAACAAAGGGAUGAAUUGCAGUUAGGAGAGUUAGGAGAAAUUGUGGAAGAAAAGUUAAGUUAAUUUAAAGGAUAUAUAUUAUAUAAAAAUGUACAAUUUCUCUUAAAUAGCUUGAAAAACNNNNNNNNNNNNNNNNNNNNNNNNNNNNNNNNNNNNNNNNNNNNNNNNNNNNNNNNNNNNNNNNNNNNNNNNNNNNNNNNNNNNNNNNNNNNUAACAGUUUCAUAACGCAUUAUAGUGUCUCUCGUCUUCAAUUUUCUAGUUUUCCGUUUCAUAUUGAUAUGAAACUAUACAUCCCUCGUUUGCGUUACUAAUUUCACCUAUUACAUUCUUACAUUUGACAAAAUUGAUAAUACAUACACAGAAUACUCGUAACUAAUGACACAAGUAAUUAUCUAAAAAUAUUUUAUUAUAAAUACCCAUAACAUUAUUAAUUUAGUGCAUACACGUGUUCGUCUCUGAUAUUUUCAGUUGGAGUUUGUACAAACUCAAAAAGAGAGCCAUUGAACUUGUUCCUACUCGUUGCAUGGUCAGUAUAUGUCCACUUCUGCUUCCUAAGGUGCUCUUUUUGAGGAAAUACUAUGGAGCCAUAUAUACAUUCUUCGUUGACAUUGCUAAUUUCACGAAUUACAUUUUUACAUUUUAAAAGAUACCAAUUGCGUUCUUACAUUUGUCACAACUAACAAUGCAAACACAGAAUACUUAUAACUAAUAAAAUCAAUAAUUAUGUUGAUGACAUUCGAUUUGUACAUAUAUUUUAUCCUAAAUACUCAAAAUACGAUUAAUUAUGUAAUACACGUGUUCGUUUUUUGUGUCUUCAGUUGAAAUUUGUGCAGAUUGAUAUUGCAAGAUCGUUGUUUAUGAACUUGUUCUUAUUCGUUACAUGAGCAGUAUGUGUCCACUAUUGCUCCUUAAAGUGCUCUUUUUGAGGAAAUAUUGUGGUUCUAGACAUCCAUCUAGCUCUUACAAGUUAUUUGAGAUUCAAGUGAAAGGAUAAUAAUGAUAAAUUAGUGUGUUAUAAAACUAACGAUGACAUAACAAUUUCAUAAUACGAACGUAACGGUCUCAUAACACCAUAUAAUCUCUCUCACCUAACAAUUCACUAAUUUUCCGUUUCUUAUUAAUAUGAAACUAUACAUUGCUCGUUUACAUCACUAUUUUCGCCAAUUAUAUUCUUACACCGGACAAAACACCAACUACAUUCUUACAUUCAACAAAAGUGAUGAUACACCAAUAAUUAUCAUCACANNNNNNNNNNNNNNNNNNNNNNNNNNNNNNNNNNNNNNNNNNNNNNNNNNNNNNNNNNNNNNNNNNNNNNNNNNNNNNNNNNNNNNNNNNNNNNNNNNNNNNNNNNNNNNNNNNNNNNNNNNNNNNNNNNNNNNNNNNNNNNNNNNNNNNNNNNNNNNNNNNNNNNNNNNNNNNNNNNNNNNNNNNNNNNNNNNNNNNNNNNNNGAAAGUCAUGACUCAUAAAGAAAACAAAAGAAAAAUGAAACGGUUAAAAAAGGGAAAGUUACACACGGCCGCCACACAAACUCCACCUUCUCCUUUUCCAUCUUGGUUCAUUUUCCUUUCUUUCUUACCCUUUAAUGAUACCCCUUAUUAAUUAAACCCCCCAUAAUUAGCACAAAUCCAUCAUGUUUAAUUUCACACCACCGAAAAGAAAUAGAAUCAUUAAUUCAUCCAAUUAAUUGAUAUAGCAAAAAAAACCAAACCAAACCAAACACGAUUAUUAUCAUGUCUCAUCGGCAAAAAUCAGCCAAUACCAACAUAAAAUCAUUGCAUAAUCUAAAAAAUUUAAGUUACAUCAAUGUAAUACCAUUGACCAUUUACUCAUUUUGAAACCAUCAAUUUUCACUCAAAUUAAACACGGCAAAAAAUAAAUUAUACAAAAUACAUACUCAAGUAAUCAUUCGCCCGUUACUACAUCGUCGACUCGCAUUCCAUUCAAUACCUAAAACACGACUCCGCCACGCAAUCUCAUGUAACCAAACUCCCACCAUCAUUUACUCAUGACUCAUCACUUAUAUAUUUCACAUAAGAAAAGGAAAUAUCAUCACCUUCCCUUAUUUAUCCUCCUCCUAAUAGUAGUUUGGUAAAAACCUGGUUUUUUAAAAAACUUUUUUUUACCUUUUUCGGCUUUUGAGUAAUAAAUAUUUUUCUGGGUGGGCUGGCAUUUCCUUUUUGUUGAAGUUGCUUGAAAAAACGUUGGAGACUUUUCUUUUUCCCCUCUGAUUUAUUUAUUUAUAAAUUAUAAUAAUAUUUUGCCACCAUCAACAGCAACAGCAACAGUAGCAGUAUUAUUUUCUCUUCUCCUUCUUCUUCCACCAUCCAUCAAUUUUCAUCCCCUCCAUAAACUUCAAAGGUUCCUGCUUUUCCUCUCUCUUUCCCCCAAAAAAACCCCACCACCACUCCACCACCGCCAUAGCCACUACCUUUUUCUCUACACACUACCCAAUAUCCCCCCUUUCCCCUCUAUCUCUCUCUUUCUUGCUAUCUUCCUCCAUCUCUCUGUUGUUUAAUUUCAUAUCUGUUUACUUUUUCUUUCUUCAAUUUGUUGACGGCGGCUCAGAAACUGAAGAAGAAGAAGAAGAAGAAGAAGACUUUACUCACCAGGAAUUGCAGUUGACCUCACUUCUCUCUCCGGUAUGAUCCUGGUCUGUUUGUGUUGAUGGGCUUUGAUCAUCAUGGCAAAUUCUGAUUUGGGUUCUGUAGAUCCAUGGAUUCUGAUUAAGAUUUCAAUCAAAUUCAACCUGAGCCCUAUUUUUGUUGUUUUUGUCUGAACUCUGUUAUUUUUUUUCCUUGUUUGUAGAUCUAUGAAUAUUGGAUUUGUUCUCUGAAUAAUUGAAGUUUUUUUAAUUUUUUUCCUGGAUUGUGUUUGUUUCAAUUAGGUUAUCAAAUUAAAAAAAAAAUUACAAAGGGGAGGAAAGGAUGAUGAUGUUUGAAGACUUGGGGUUUUGUGGUGACAUGGAUUUCUUCUCCGGUCCAUCUCUCGUCGGCGGCGGAGAAGGAGGAGUCGGAGAUCUGGCGGCGGCUCAGCAGGAAGCGACGGGUCCGACGCUGAAUGACGCAGCGCGCGGCGGGGGAGUGAUGGAAGAGAUCGACGUGGAUGAACUGGAGAGGAGGAUGUGGAGGGACAAGAUGCGGUUGAAGAAGCUGAAAGAACAGACCAAGUCCAAGGAAGGAAUUGACGUGGCCAAGCAAAGGCAGUCGCAGGAGCAAGCCAGGAGGAAGAAGAUGUCCAGAGCUCAAGAUGGGAUCUUGAAAUACAUGCUGAAGAUGAUGGAGGUCUGUAAAGCUCAGGGCUUUGUCUAUGGGAUCAUCCCCGAAAAGGGAAAACCGGUCACCGGAGCAUCGGAUAACUUGAGGGAGUGGUGGAAGGAUAAGGUCAGGUUCGAUAGGAAUGGUCCUGCUGCUAUAGCCAAGUAUCAAGCUGAUAAUUCGGUCUCCGGGAGGAACGAUUCGGGGAAUUUGAUGGGGCCGACUCCUCACACAUUGCAGGAGCUUCAGGAUACGACGCUUGGUUCGUUGCUAUCGGCUUUGAUGCAGCAUUGCGAUCCUCCGCAGAGGAGGUUCCCGUUGGAAAAGGGGGUUUCGCCGCCUUGGUGGCCGAGUGGGAAUGAGGAAUGGUGGCCUCAAUUGGGGUUACCUAAGGAGCAAGGCGCCCCACCGCCUUACAAGAAGCCUCAUGACUUGAAGAAGGCUUGGAAAGUUGGUGUCUUGACUGCUGUGAUCAAGCACAUGUCCCCCGACAUUGCAAAGAUUCGGAAACUCGUUAGGCAGUCGAAAUGCUUGCAGGAUAAGAUGACUGCCAAGGAGAGUGCUACUUGGCUUGCUAUCAUCAAUCAGGAGGAGAAGCUGGCUCGAGAGCUUUACCCCGAUUUCUGCCCGCCCUUGCUGUCGAGUGGUGUCGGGGGAGGGAGUGGCUCUUUGGUGAUUAGUGACUGUAAUGAAUAUGAUGUCGAUGGAGGGGAGGAUGAAACUCCAAGUUUCGAUGUCCAUGAGUGUAAGCCCUUUCAGCUGCCUUUCCCGGUUAAGGGCGAGGAUGUUGAUUUCAUUCAGAAGAGGAAGAAUCCAUCUUCUGAUAUAAGCAUGAUGAUGGAGCAACCGAAAGUCUACACCUGUGAGUUCCUGCAGUGUCCUUACAGCCAGAGCCGGUUAGGGUUUCACGACAGGAUGUCGAGGGACAAUCAUCAGCUCGCUUGCCCCUUCAGAAGCAAUUCGUUGGAGUUUGCUGUGUCGAACUUCCAUGUCAAUGAAGUGAAGCCUUUGAUCUUCCCUCAAUCGAAAUCGCUUGCUACUGCAGUUGCUGCUCCUCCGGCCUCAGCGCCUAUGACAUUCGAUCUGACUGGUGUUCCGGAAGAUGGUCAGAAGAUGAUAAGUGAUCUCAUGUCUGUCUAUGACACUACCGUCGUCCAGACCACUGGUACCAGAACUGCUAGCUCAGCCAACAACAACAACAGCAGCAGCAACCUUAUGGGUGGUCAUCAUCACAAUCUGUUCGGGCCGAAAAUCCAGCAUCAACCGGAGAACAACUUCUACCGCGGUCAAAGCAGCGUGAUCGAAGGGAGCAUCUUCGGAGACUCCAACAACUUCCAGAACAGUAUCAGCAACAACAACCAUCAUCAGCAAGUCAUGUUCCCUCAGGAAAGUACCCAAUUUGACAGGUUCAAGCCACUCAGCUCUCCAUUCGAGAGCAACCCGAAUAGCAACAUCAGCAACAACAACAACAACAACAACAACAACAACAAUAGCAGCAACAACAACAGCUUCAACUUGAUGUUCGCGUCCCCCUUUGAGAUGGAUCUUCAAGGAAUCGGAGUUGAUCCACUGCCAAGGCAACCAGAUGUUUCGACGAUGUGGUUCCAGUAAAACAUCAGCAUCAUCAUCAGGGGAUGGAUAAGUACAUGUUGGAGUCUUUUAAAAGUUUUACUAUAUAGUUAUGGUGUAGUGAAACUUGGGUCAUCAGUUGUUUUUGUUUCAUGUUAUUUUCAUCUUUAUUUAGGCCUAGAAAACUUAGGGUUUGGGCAGCAAAAGCAAGCAAAUUUGCAGAAUGCCAAGGGGUGGAAAAAAGGAUGAGACUUGGGGAGGAAGAAAUAAAGGUCAAGGUGGUAAAUUCCCCCCAGUUGAAUUUUUACAAUUUUUACCUCUUGUGGCAAGGCUUGGUUGACAAGUAUCAUUAUAUAUUAUAUUAUUAUAUGAAGUAAUGAAGAACAAACAGUAUAAUGUCCUCAGUGUCAAAUAAAUAAGCUUUUGUAGCAUUGUAAUUUUCUUUUCAUGUUGCAGAGUGCUGCUGCUGGUUUACUUAUGUCUAUGGAGUUAUGUUUUUUUGUGUGUAGCUCAAGUGGACAAAAAUGGCUUGCAUCACUUUGGAAAAAUUGUGAUUUUAUGAUUGAAUUUUGUGUUGUAAUGAAAUGCCCAUCUCCAUGUUGCCUUAUUCUUUGGGAUGCUUGUCUUGUUCUGCAAAUUGCUUACCACUUUGUCGUAACUUACCAGUACACUCCAUGUGAGCUUCUUUCUCAUAUACUUUUGGACCAUUGAUCUUUAACGUAUUGUGAUGGACAAAUACCAAUUAAAAUAUUGGUAUAUGCUACGAAGUGAAUUCAAUGACCACGACUACAAGUCAUGGAACUUAUUAUUGCGGGUACUAGAUCAAGGAUGGGGUGAGUCGAGGUACGGAACAUUUCGAAGUUUACAUAACUUGUGAGAGCGGGAUGGAUGGGUGAUAAUGUCUAAAUGCACAAUAUUCCUUCAAAAAGAGCGCAGUAAGAAGCGGAAGUGGACACGUACCACCCAUGCAGAGAAAACAAGUUCAUGAAUAUCUCUUUCAAUGUUAGUUUGUAUAGAUUGUAAUUGGAGAAAUCAGAGGCGACAAGUAUAUGUACUAAAUUAAUUGUAUUUUGAGUAGAUAUGGUAAAAUAUUUUGUAGAUUAUUAUUGAUGUUAUUAGUCACGAGUAUUCUGUGUUUGUAUGGGUAGGUUUGUCAAAUGUUAACACAUACCGUCUGUGCAACGAGUAAGAACAAGUUCAUGAACAUCACUUUCAAUGACAGUUUGUACAAAUUUCAAAUGGAGAAAUUAGAGGCGAGGACGUGUAUGUAUCAAAUUAAUUUUAUUUUAAGUAUUUAUGGUAAAAUAUUUGUAGAUAAUUAUUGAUGUUAUCAGUUACGAGUAUUAUGUGUUUUCAUAAUUAGGGUUGUCAAAUAGAAAAGUGUAAAUUUGUUUUUGUCAAAUGUAAGAAUGUAAACAUUUUAGCAAACAUUAUGAAGAUAGAAAAUAAGUUAUCAAUUUUGAGGGACAAUUGUACCAAAUAGAUUUUAGAAAAAUACAAAAAAAAGU
rnacentral:lncRNA from 1 species